UGUGCUGUGGCUUAGUUGGUUAACGUGCCUGCCUAAUAAACGGGAGAUCCUGGGCUUGAAUCCCUGCAGUGCUG